UACGAAGGGGGGCUAGCGUUGUUCGGAUUUACUGGGCGUAAAGCGCACGUAGGCGGAUUGUUAAGUCGGGGGUGAAAUCCUGGAGCUCAACUUCAGAAUUGCCUUCGAUACUGGCUUUCUAGAGGCUGGAAGAGGUUAGUGGAAUUCCCAGUGUAGAGGUGAAAUUCGUAGAUAUUGGGAAGAACACCAGUGGCGAAGGCGGCUAACUGGUCCAGAUCUGACGCUGAGGUGCGAAAGCGUGGGGAGCAAACAGG
rnacentral:rRNA from 1 species